AGGAUUUAGUAGUAAAUUAAGAA
rnacentral:piRNA from 1 species